GACGCUCGAGACCAAAGGGGUGGGACUCUCGUUUUCCAGGCGAGCCAGGCCCGGGACUUGAAAUCUGAAGCUCUAACCUGUCUUCUCUCAUUACCAACCCUUCCCUUUUCCUGAGAUCCAUACAUGAAAAAAGGAACUCAUACGUAACUACACUUCCACCCACCUCUCUGUGGUUCUGGGUGCGACUGGCCUUAUGGUGAACAAUUUAGGAUGACUAAUUUUGGGAGUAGUGGCCAGACUGGUCUUAGUGCUUCCUUGUCAGUCUCUCCUCAGGACCCAAGGCUGGGACCAGGGGCAAAGAAGCCCAGGGAAUAACCCCCUAGCCAGAGGCUGAGCCUCUCGCCCUGCCCUCUCCAGGCCAGAGGACCCAUGCCUUCAAACUGCCCCUUCCUCAUAGCUCUGGGAUCCUGUGAGUCUGGCCCACCAGGUAGAUUCCCCAGGCAAGGAAGGAUCUCAGCCAGACUCCUGCAGCUAGAGCCCAGGACCCAAUCGCCAGUUUCCCCAACCCCUAGGUCCCUGGCUUCCCAUCGGCACAGUGAGAAUGCUGUACAGCUGGACAGAGCCUGGGGCCUCCCCUCAGCCACACAUGGUCUGGCAGCCCUUGAUCUCUCAUGGCUUUAAGGAGUUGAGUGACCCAGGAUGGAGUCCAGGCUUCCCUUGGGUGGGCACACCCUUCUCUUCUCUGAGCUGCCGUCUCCUCUUCUGUUAAGUGGGAAUUGUAAUAAUACCUCCUCUGGAAGGUUGAUCUUGGGAGUAAAUGGACCUUUGGAUGUGAAACUGGGUUUGGGUUUGGAAGCAGCUGGGCCUACAGCGCUUGAUCUGGGGAUCAGUUUUCCCUGAGAAGAGCUGAAUUUUCGUGUGUGUGUGUGUGUGUGUGUGUGUGUGCACGCGCACGCGCAUGUGCAACCAUCAACCUUUGAACCAACGUUGGCACUGUCUCUUGGUCUGGGCACAUUCUCGUUCUUUGUUGAUGUCCACCAGAGGUGUGCAAAGUUCAGACUCUUAGUGUGCCAGGGUCCCUUCUGCAUCCCCCUGUCCCCAGUGGGGGAUACCACCUACAUCAUUUGUCCACAUCUCCCAUCAGCUCCCUCCGGUUAAUCCCAGACCCCAAAGCUAAAAAGCUUUCCCUAAUCUGUGCCCUGACCUCCCAGACCCUGAAGCUCCACCUCUUCUUCAUCCUCCUGAGGCCUCUUCCCCCAGAGUCUUGCCCUCUGGGAUUGUCAGCUGUUCCUCGUGGAGGGUUAAUGACUCAUGGCAAGCUGAACUUGCCUCCCUCAAAUGGUGACUGUUCAAAAGGUGUGACUCGGCGGAAGGAGAGAGACCACCUCUGAGCCAUGCACCCUUGGGCAAAGUGCCUUUCCCUCCCAGGCCCUUGGCUUCCGAGUUCAAAUCCACGGAGGGCGGGGACCCAGCUGUCCCACGGAAAAAGGCCUUGUGAUGUGUACUGUGUCUGCAUUUCCACGUGUGCAUUUAUUGUUAUUGCUCAGUAUAGUGUUGAAAAGGCAGACAAAUCCCAUUAAUUACAAAGAGCACAAGCCAGAGAUACAGAGAAAUCAAGAGUGUACAAUAAAAGCACAGUCACGUCCCAGCCCCGAUUUCCCCAGAGCCCCCCAGAGCCCGGGUAGCUCGUGGAAGCUGGAGGCGGCACCAUUUCCUCGCUACUCUGGUAUAAAAUAUGUGCACGUGAGAGUUAGCAAAGUGUGGCGACUAACCCCUCCCCGCCCCGAGAGGAAAGGUGAGGAGAGCACCACAGGCGUUACAGAACAGACUUGGGGAGCCGAGAAGGGCAGUCCCAAAGCAGCCUUAAAUAUCUUGUUUUCGGUGGAGGGGGUGAUGGCUGAUGCCCAGGGCCUGGGAUCCCCCCCCCCCCACUUGGAUGAACAGGAUCUUUACAUCAAAAUCAGGAGAGCUUGCUUUGGAACUUGGGAAAGACCUGGGGAUUUUCUGCUGUUGUUUGAUUUCAGCCUCGUCUCUGGAGGACCCAGAAGCCUUCAGAGAAACGCAACCCAUCUCCACCCCACCCGCCAUCUUCUAAUGGUGGGAUCUCCGACCCUACGGAGAGAGUUUUGUGUGGGAGGCACGUCACAGUGUGCGUUUGACAGCAUCCUACCACAGACAUUUCAGAACCAUGUUGCGGAGUAAGAAGAGUCAGCAAUUGAAAGCAUCACCAUUGCAUAGUAUUAAAUGAACAGAGAUGGUGAGUUCUUUAUUUACAGUUAUUGUCUAG